AUAUUUAACUGAACAAGAGUGCGGAAGUGCACGUUUAGCCCUCAAAGGCUGAAUCCCUUAACGGAACAUUUCUAUGCACCUCCAUCUUGUGUUUUUGGCUUGGUCUGUCUGGCAGGAGGAAGGAGAACAAAUGAAUAUGCAUUUUGCUUCUCCGACUGACAGGACGAGGGAGACGAACUGAAAUCAAACGAGAAUUUUUUCGAGAAAUUCUUUUUUGUCACUUUAGUCGGUAUUUAAUUUUACAUUCAAACAGGCGAGUCGACAUCCCUAGCCUAUUUUGAGUAAAUCUCGGAGAUUCUCCACAGUUUUGUUAAAGAUGAAAUUAAUUUCCACUUUGUUCGUAUUAGUUAACUUUGCAUCGGUUUCAGUCGAUGCUGAUGGGUCAAAGAUCGAGGCAAACCAUGGAGAAGAUGUUACACUGUCCUUCCCAAUGGAUAAAGCAGAGGAAGCUGAUAGAUUGAGGAUAAUGUUUACAUCAGAAUCUACGAAUGAGACUCGUUUGAUCGCACUGCGCUGUUCCGGUUCUGAAAUCUGUGAUCUUGUGAAAACACCUGGAGUCAAACUGAUGGUUGGAGGAGGACUCGUGAAUGUAACAAUUCAGAAAGUGAACAGCUCCAGAUCAGGACUCUAUAAAGCAGAACCUGUUGGAGAGCACAUAGGCAUACCUGAUGUGACUCCUAUUACACUUGUUGUCAAAGCACCAUUUACCUCCACUACAGCUCCUCCACACUCCUCCACCCCAAAACCUCCCAACUCCUCUCACCUCCUCUGGCUGUGUGCUUUAAUUCCUCUAGUCAUUGUCAUCUCAGGGGUCGUUUGCUUCUGGAAACGCAGGAGG